CUGAGAUUCUGCACGCAAAUGGAACAAACAGGUCUCUUCUAAGAGGUGGUGGCACCCCCAGCCAACAAAUAGUAAGUGGAAAUUUGUAAAUCCACCGAUCAACAUUGAAAAGCAAAGCAGGAAUGGGAAGAAAAACGAAAGUGCUGUAUUAUGGCGGCUGAAAGCUGAUCGGAAAUUUCACUAGGCAUGGAGGGCCUUCAGUCAAAAGGUAAGUGCUUCAUGGGAUUUCAUGCUAAAUUAUGGAUUUAUUUGAUUUUAGUUUUUGAAUUUAUGUUGUUUGUUGGUUGUUUGGUGAUUUGCUGUAGUCUAGAAGGAAGUGUAACAUAUGAUAAUGGCAUGUGUUUGCUGGCUUAAUUAA